UUAUUAAGUUUUUGGUGAAUUUAGUUGUUUACAUACUUGUUUUGUCAUGAACAUAACUAAUCUAAAACCAGUAUGUAAUCUAAAGGAACAUGUGCAAUGUGUGACAUUUAUGUCUUUAUAUUACUAGGGAAAAUUAAAUAGAUGACAUGGUAACAGAUGCGUUCUAUUGAAACUUCUAUUUACAUAAAAUGUAGGUCAGCAACUAGGGAUAAUUGAGAACUGAUAGCGCCUAUCUGAAACCAAAAAAAGAUGGAGCUUGUUCGAAAACAAUUAAAUUAGCAGCGCCACUUAACUGACAUACAGUUAUAGGUUUCAUCCCAGAAUCUCUCCAGUUGAUGCACAAUGACCAUGAGACAGGAAUUAUCAUGUGGAACUUACUCCAGUUACUGAAAUUCUGCAAGGAGAGAAGCUCGGUGGCAGCAGAUUCCCUUUCAUUUGUAUUGGAGAGGUGAUGCACAAUUUAGAUUCCAACUCCACACCAAGAAAGCAAUUGUUAGAUGCAUGCACAGACAAUUCAGAGACCAUCAUUGGGG